rnacentral:rRNA from 1 species
CAGCCGCCGCGGGAAUACGAAGGGGGCUAGCGUUGCUUGGAAUGACUGGGCGUAAAGGGCGCAUAGGCGGCCAUUCAAGUUAGAUGUGAAAGCCCUGGGCUCGACCUAGGAAUUGCACUUGAUACUGUUUGGCUUGAGUUCGGGAGAGGUGAGUGGAAUUCCCAGUGUAGAGGUGAAAUUCGUAGAUAUUGGGAAGAACACCAGUGGCGAAGGCGGCUCACUGGACCGACACUGACGCUGAGGCGCGAAAGCGUGGGGAGCAAACAGGAUUAGAUACCCCAGUAGUCCCUGUCUCUUAUAU